rnacentral:rRNA from 1 species
AGAACGACUCUCGGCAACGGAUAUCUCGGCUCUCGCAUCGAUGAAGAACGUAGCGAAAUGCGAUACUUGGUGUGAAUUGCAGAAUCCCGUGAACCAUCGAGUCUUUUGAACGCAAGUUGCGCCCGAAAGCCAUCAGGUCGAGGGCACGUCUGCCUGGGCGUCACAC